GUAGUCAUAUGCUUGUCUCAAAGAUUAAGCCAUGCAUGUCUAAGUAUAAGCAAUUAUACCGUGAAACUGCGAAUGGCUCAUUAAAUCAGUUAUCGUUUAUUUGAUAGUACCUUACUACUUGGAUAACCGUGGUAAUUCUAGAGCUAAUACAUGCUGAAAACCCCAACUUCGGAAGGGGUGUAUUUAUUAGAUAAAAAACCAAUGCCCUUCGGGGCUCCUUGGUGAUUCAUAAUAACUUCUCAGAUCGCAUGGCCUUGCGCCGGCGACGGUUCAUUCAAUUUUCUGCCCUAUCAACUUUCGAUGGUAGGGUAUUGGCUUACCAUGGUUUCAACGGGUAACGGGGAAUUAGGGUUCGAUUCCGGAGAGGGAGCCUGAGAAACGGCUACCACAUCCAAGGAAGGCAGCAGGCGCGCAAAUUACCCAAUCCCGACACGGGGAGGUAGUGACAAUAAAUACUGAUACAGGGCUCUUUUGGGUCUUGUAAUUGGAAUGAGUACAAUUUAAACCUCUUAACGAGGAGCAAUUGGGGGGCAAGUCUGGUGCCAGCAGCC
rnacentral:rRNA from 1 species